rnacentral:rRNA from 1 species
CGUUGAUAGGUGGGGUGUGUAAGCGCGGCGACGUGUUGAGCUAACCCAUACUAAUUACCCGUGAGGCUUAACCAUACAACACCCAAGAAGUGUUCU